AACGAACGCUGGCGGCAUGCCUAACACAUGCAAGUCGAACGAGUUCUUCGGGUCUAGUGGCGCACGGGUGCGUAACGCGUGGGAACCUGCCCUUAGGCUCGGAAUAAACCCCCGAAAGGGGUGCUAAUACCGGCUAAUGUCUUCGGCCCAAAGCUUUAUCGCCCUUGGUUGGGCCGGCGUUGGAUUAGCUAGUUGGUAGGGUAAAAGCCUACCAAGGCGACGAUCCGUAGCUGGACUGAGAGGAUGUUCAGCCACACUGGGACUGAGAUACGGCCCCGACUCAUAAGGGAGGAAGGAGUAGGGAAUCUUCGGAAAUGGGCGAAAGCGUGAACGAGCAACGCCGCGUGAGUGAGGAAGGCCGUCGGGUUGUAAAACUCUGUUGUGUGGGAAGAAGGGAAAGGGUAGGACCCUUGGGUGACGGUACCAAACGAGAAAGCCCCGGCUAACUACGUG
rnacentral:rRNA from 1 species